CCUACGGGAGGCAGCAGUGGGGAAUAUUGCACAAUGGGCGAAAGCCUGAUGCAGCAACGCCGCGUGAGCGAUGAAGGCCUUCUGGUCGUAAAGCUCUGUCCUCAAGGAAGAGAAUGACGGUACAUGAGGAGGAAGCCCCGGCUAACUACGUGCCAGCAGCCGCGGUAAGACGUAGUGGGCUAGCGUUAUCCGGAAGUACUGGGCGUAACGGGUGCGUAGGUGGUUUCUGAAGUCAGAGGUGAACUGCUCCGUCUCUCCCGUAGUAUGCCUUUGAAAAGGUGGAACUUGAGUGCAGGAGAGGAGAGUGGAAUUCCUAGUGGAGCGGUGAAAUGCGUAGAUAUUAGGAGGAACACCAGUUGCGAAGGCGGCUCUCUGGACUGUAACUGACACUGAGGCACG
rnacentral:rRNA from 1 species